GAUCAGGCUCAGGAUGAACGCUAGCUACAGGCUUAACACAUACAAGUCGAGGGGCAUCAGUUUGGUUUGCUUGCAAACCAAAGCUGGCGACCGGCGCACGGGUGAGUAACACGUAUCCAACCUGCCUCAUACUCGGGGAUAGCCUUUCGAAAGAAAGAUUAAUAUCCGAUAGCAUAUAUUUCCCGCAUGGGUUUUAUAUUAAAGAAAUUCGGUAUGAGAUGGGGAUGCGUUCCAUUAGUUUGUUGGGGGGGUAACGG
rnacentral:rRNA from 1 species